UGGUAUUCAAAAAGACCGAAAUGAGUAACAUCUCCAUCCUCUUGUUGGUCGAAACGAAAGGGAAAAGCAAACAACAGGACAAGAAGAAUAAAAACCACCAAAAUCAGAAAGAGUUUGACAUGCUAGAUAAUAACUUGCUCAAACUAUUAAUAUGGGGAAUAUAAAAUCACGCCCUCCCCACAAACUAGAAGUUGCAUUAUAUCAGUAACAUAUACAAGUGCCUAAAGGACUGCACCUGUGUAUCUAUCAGACAUUAGGUACAGAAAACACUCGUCCCAAAAAUGUUUUUUCCAAAGGAAGAAAAGAAAUGCUUUUAACUAAUGGAAACACAAAGAAUACAUACUAAGCAGAGAUGACAGUAACAGGUAGUGGCGGAUCCAGGAUCUCGAGUAAGGUAGGGUCUCUGUUGACCGUUGACUAUUGACCGUCAAUGGCAGCAAUAAAAUUCAGAGAACCAUUUUCAUUUUAGGCAAAACAGAAAACUGAUACUGAGAGCAGAGGAAGAAACAAAGGGGAGAAAGGGAAGGGAUGAAAGAAGAAAGAAAGAAAAGAAAGAAGAGGCAAAGGAGGAAAAAAGAUUGGUUGCUUUCUUCUCUUUGUGCCUCCUAAGCUUGCUCUCUAGGUUUUUAUAAAAAAUAUACACAGACAAUGCCUCCUUCUGAAGAAAAAAAUUUGAUUUUGAAAAGCUC
rnacentral:lncRNA from 1 species